CAGAUGGCUGUGCAGGGGGCGCACAUGGCAGCAAUGCCACAUGAAAGCCAACUGUGCAGCCACAGCCCCCUGGCAGCUGGCUGAGA